GAUGAACGCUGGCGGCGUGCCUAAUACAUGCAAGUCGAGCGAACAGACGAGGAGCUUGCUCCUUCGACGUUAGCGGCGGACGGGUGAGUAACACGUAGGUAACCUACCUAUAAGACUGGGAUAACUUCGGGAAACCGGAGCCAAUACCGGAUAAUAUUUCGAACCGCAUGGUUCGAUAGUGAAAGAUGGCUUUGCUAUCACUUAUAGAUGGACCUGCGCCGUAUUAGCUAGUUGGUAAGGUAACGGCUUACCAAGGCAACGAUACGUAGCCGACCUGAGAGGGUGAUCGGCCACACUGGAACUGAGACACGGUCCAGACUCCUACGGGAGGCAGCAGUAGGGAAUCUUCCGCAAUGGGCGAAAGCCUGACGGAGCAACGCCGCGUGAGUGAUGAAGGUCUUCGGAUCGUAAAACUCUGUUAUUAGGGAAGAACAAACGUGUAAGUAACUGUGCACGUCUUGACGGUACCUAAUCAGAAAGCCACGGCUAACUACGUG
rnacentral:rRNA from 1 species